ensembl:lncRNA LINC02987 long intergenic non-protein coding RNA 2987
AGUAGCAUCUUAGCUGCUUCCGGCCGCUGGUCGCAGGGCUGCGGGACUACAAUCUUCGCAUGAAAUGGAAGAGAGGGUGGUGCGGAUAGCUUGAGGAAGGUACGGAUACCUUGAGGGAGGUAUGGAUACGUUGAGGGAGGUACGGAUACGUUGAGGGAGGUUACGGAUACGUUAAGGGAGGUACAGCAGCGGUGCGCGCCUUGCAGGGCAUGCUGAGAGGAACAGUUUUUUAACUGCUUCUGGCUGUUGGUGGCAGAGCUGCGGGACUACAAUCCCAGUAUGCUACGGGAGUGGGGAUGAUGCUGGUCCCUUGAGGGGGGGGGGCAGCGCGGUGCCCUCCUGCCGGGCAUGCUGGUAAUAGUGUCUUAGCUGCUUCCGGCCGUUGGUCGCAGGGCUAUGGGACUACAGUCUCAGCAUGCGCAGGGUUCAAGGGUGUUGCGCAGCCCCGCAGGGAGGGGCAGGGCGGUGUUGACCUCUGUUUCCAAACCCAUGCUGGCUACUGAAUCUGUGCCACCCCUGGCUAAGGGGAGUGAGUCCAUAGAGGGACUUGAAGGGCAGGUCUGGGCUGGGCAGUGAGGAGAGUAUGAUACUGCAAAGUGCGCCUCGCCUUUGCCAAAAUCGGUCGGGUCUCAGGCUCACCCCACCUCCCGCUGCUCAGUUCCGUUUCCCUCCAGAGCAUCAAGCCUCCUCCCGCCCAGGGGGCCUCCUGCUUUCCUAAGCUGCUGUGGAAUCGGCCUGAGGUCCCAGACGCUGUCCAUUGUGCUGCUGCUCUCUGCUUUCUCCAGCCAGAGUGCCAGUUCAUCCGCUUUUGGGAGAACUCCGCCGCCUGGCCUGCCCGCGGAAAAGGUCACAGCUUUGCAGGGGGUGACAUGGGCUAUGGCUUCCUGGAAAUGUCACCCUCACUAGCGCCUUUUAGAUAGAUGUGAAUUUUGAGACAUGAGGGAGAGUAAUUAUUGGUUUACCCAGGAGAUGCUAAGAGCAGAGGAGAAAACCCUAAUUUCCAGGCAUGUGUCCUGAGCCAGGGACAGGCUGGCCAGACCCUAAGCCCCCAGUGCCGCCAGAGAGCAGCCUACUGCCCUGAUUUGUGUGGAAUCCCCUUCGUGCUGCUGGGCCUUAGCGUCAGGGACAGCCCAGUCAGGUGAAGGUGGGGAUGACCCAUGGGCUUCUGGAAGUGGGUUGGUGGUCCUGGGAGGGCCAGCCCAUCCCCCCUUGGAGAGGGUCUUUGUGCUGAAGGAUGCCCACAGAGGCCUGGGUACCAGGAACACUGCUCUAGGCAAGGUGCCUUUCUUCCAGAUUUGGCUGAAAGGAAGGAAGACUUGGUCAGCUUUUCCACCCAGCCAUCUGGCCCUUACAGGGCUGCUCCCCAUGGACCUGGGUUUGUAGAGUCCUCCAGGGCUUUGUGUGGCCCACUAGUUCUGAUACUGAGGACACCCCUGCAGGCUGUUAAUUUCAGAACAAGGGGUGUGUGCAGACUGGGGCAUGGGUGCUGUCAGGGUACCCCAGGCUGCUCCAGGGACGGUACCCCAGUGUUCAACUUGGCUUGGGGCCCCCUGCCUCAUGCCCUUACUCCAGGGCUGCUUGGCCUGGGCUUGAGCCAUGGUCCAGAACUCAGGUGGCCCCAUUGCCACCUAAUAUAAGGGCCUGUCUCCACAGUGGGUGAGACGCCCCUGGGCACUGGGCUCUUCAGUCAUCCAGGGCUAUCCACUCCAUGGCAUGAGUUCCCACAUUCAGCUGAACUCUGUCUGGCUCUGGACUGGGGUCCCUCCUGUGCCCUUUCCCUGAAUCCUCUCUGGGUCCGAGACACUGAUCCUCUUCACUCUCUGGCUUAAGGCUUGUUCUCCUGACCUCCUUGGAGGGGUGCUCAGGAUUGAGGACCCCUGCUGUUCUCUGGGGCUGUUGGUACUCGGAGGUGUGGGUGUUGGCUUGCACUGAGAAGUCCAACCCCUUCAGUGCCCUUCAGGGGUCCUUUAAGAGCAGGAGUGAUAGGGUGUGGGGGAGUGCCUUAGAGGGGUCUUGCCCUCAUCCCCUGCCCUGUCUCUGAGACGUGUCCAGUAAACCUGAGGUCAGCACCUCAGGAAUGAAAUAAUGUCUUUUGCAGCAACUUGAAUGAAGCUGGAGGCCAUUAUUCCAAGUGAAAUAACUCAGGAAUUAAAAAUCAAAUGCCAUAUGUUCUCACUUAUAAGUUGGAGCUAAGCCAUGCGUAUGCAAAGGCAUGCGGGGUGACAUAAUGGACUUUGGAGACUCAGACAUGAGGGUGGCAGGUGGAUGAAGGAUGAAAAAACUACCUGUUGAGUACAAUAUAUACUACUCAGGUGACAAGUGCACUAAAAUCUCAGAAUCCAACACUAUAUAAUUCAUUCAUGUAACCAAAAACCACUUGUACCCAAAUGAUAUUGACAUU